UACGUAGGGGGCAAGCGUUGUCCGGAAUCAUUGGGCGUAAAGAGCGUGUAGGCGGCCAGAUAAGUCCGCUGUGAAAUCUCGAGGCUCAACUUCGAGCUGUCAGUGGAAACUGUCUGGCUAGAGUCCGGAAGAGGAGAAUGGAAUUCCUGGUGUAGCGGUGAAAUGCGCAGAUAUCAGGAAGAACACCCGUGGCGAAGGCGGCUCUCUGGGACGGUACUGACGCUGAGACGCGAAAGCGUGGGGAGCGAACAGG
rnacentral:rRNA from 1 species